GACGAACGCUGGCGGCGCGCCUAACACAUGCAAGUCGAACGGAGCUGAGAGAAGCUUGCUUUUCUUAGCUUAGUGGCGAACGGGUGAGUAACGCGUGAGUAACCUGCCCUGGAGUGGGGGACAACAGUUGGAAACGACUGCUAAUACCGCAUAAGCCCACGAUCCGGCAUCGGAUUGAGGGAAAAGGAUUUAUUCGCUUCAGGAUGGACUCGCGUCCAAUUAGCUAGUUGGUGAGGUAACGGCCCACCAAGGCGACGAUUGGUAGCCGGACUGAGAGGUUGAGCGGCCACAUUGGGACUGAGACACGGCCCAGACUCCUACGGGAGGCAGCAGUGGGGGAUAUUGCACAAUGGGGGAAACCCUGAUGCAGCGACGCCGCGUGGAGGAAGAAGGUUUUCGUAUUGUAAACUCCUGUCGUUAGGGACGAUAAUGACGGUACCUAACAAGAAAGCACCGGCUAACUACGUG
rnacentral:rRNA from 1 species